AUAAAGUAUGCUCGAUUUCGACACAUUUUCAAACUUUGUAAAAUUUGAAAAUGUGUCGAAAUCGAGCAUACUUUAU